AGUGAACGCUGGCGGCAGGCCUAAUACAUGCAAGUCGAACGGCAGCACAGCAGAGCUUGCUCUGUGGGUGGCGAGUGGCGGACGGGUGAGGAAUACAUGGGGAUCUGCCCAGUCGUGGGGGAUAACGUAUGGAAACGUACGCUAAUACCGCAUGCGCCCUACGGGGGAAAGUCGGGGACCGCAAGGCCUGACGCGAUUGGAUGAGCCCAUGUUCGAUUAGCUAGUUGGCGGGGUAAAGGCCCACCAAGGCGACGAUCGAUAGCUGGUCUGAGAGGAUGAUCAGCCACACUGGAGCUGAGACACGGUCCAGACUCCUACGGGAGGCAGCAGUAGGGAAUAUUGGACAAUGGGGGCAACCCUGAUCCAGCCAUGCCGCGUGAGUGAAGAAGGCCCUCGGGUUGUAAAGCUCUUUUGUCCGGAAAGAAAACUUCCGGGUGAAUACCCCGGGAGGCUGACGGUACCAUCAGAAGAAGCACCGGCUAACUACGUGCC
rnacentral:rRNA from 1 species